GCCGCCGGGGCCGCCCCGCCCGAGACAGGUGGAGCGCUGAGGAGACGGACCCCGUGAGGAGGGGAACCGGCACCCCCAGCCGAGGAGAAGGAGGCUUUUUCACAAGAAAGCAAGAAAGAGACGAUGAUGUGCUCAAAACCCAACGAUACAAAUGCAAACAAAAGUAUGAGGAGUUUUGACUGUGCUGAGAGAGAAAAUUGGGAGUGAAUGGUCAAGCCCUUUGUCAAUAAUGCAGUGAGACAUCGGUACAACGGGAUCACACAGCACAGGGCACAGCUCUGAAGCGCAGGUUUCCCGCUGCAGACACUGCAACAGUGAUGUAUAUAAUCCAGUCUGUACACUGCAAUGUAUAAUACAAGAGUUAUUUUAUCCACACUGACCUUGCUGUUUCCAGGAACUACAGCCUCCACAUCUUUGGCUGUUGUUGCCCUUGAAAAUUACCAGGAGCACUGGACAGAUAGUACAUGUUGGCUCUCCCUGUACUAAAUUUGAGGGCAUUUCUGCGUCACAAAUAGAAUAAAUUGUGCUAAAAGAAAA